GGUCCAGACUCCUACGGGAGGCAGCAGUGAGGAAUAUUGGUCAAUGGUCGGGAGACUGAACCAGCCAAGCCGCGUGAGGGAGGAAGGUACAGAGUCUCGUAAACCUCUUUUGUCGGAGAACAAAACCCGGGACGUGUCCCGGACUGCGUGUAUCCGAAGAAAAAGCAUCGGCUAACUCCGUGCCAGCAGCCGCGGUAAUACGGAGGAUGCGAGCGUUAUCCGGAUUUAUUGGGUUUAAAGGGUGCGCAGGCGGAGGUGCAAGUCAGCGGUCAAAUUGCGGGGCUCAACCCCGUACUGCCGUUGAAACUGCAUCCCUUGAGUGCGCGAGAAGUAUGCGGAAUGCGUGGUGUAGCGGUGAAAUGCAUAGAUAUCACGCAGAACUCCGAUUGCGAAGGCAGCAUACCGGCGCGCAACUGACGCUCAUGCACGAAAGCGUGGGUAUCGAACAGGAUUAGAUACCCCCGUAGG
rnacentral:rRNA from 1 species